CUCAAAUCCAGAUAAAUGGCAACUUGCUUCUGGCAGACUUCGAGUUCCUGCAUUCCCAGUAGAACAUUCCCUUCUGUGUCCUUAAGCACCUCAUYCUGGGCUGGAAUUUAGUAUAUAGAGAAAUUCAUCUUGACUACAUCAAAAUACCUCUGUUAGCUCCUUGUUUCAYUGCAGAACCGGGAGUUGUUCAGCUGCAGUAUUGAAGAUUCAGGCAGUUACCUGAAUUCUUCCAAGCCCCUCUUACAUCAUUGYCUCUGGAUACAGAAGAAAAUUGGUGUCUAUUUUAGAGACCCCAUAUGCCCUAGCAUAUUAAAAAGUACUGUUGGUGUGACAGAGCACCAGGCAUAUGUCUUCCAAAGCAGAUCAGCCAGCCCUAGGUCAUUUUAGCCUGUGUCCUUCAUUAACUGUUGUUUGUGGGCUGGGUUUUUAUUUGCCCGUUUCUCUGUGUGUUAUGAGAAUAGCUGAUAUCUCAGGCCCAUUUCGGUAUGUGUCUGGCUCUCUAUUCAACCAUCCAGAUGUUUUUUACCAUAGGCAUUUUACAAAAACCUGAAACAAAUAAAUACACAGUCCUAUCCCUUCACCUCUCCUGGGAUUAAAUAUUCCCAGUGUGUUAUUAAGGCUGAUGCAUAUUUUCUUUCUCUUAAACAGCAGCGGCAGCGCACAUUCACGCAGAUGCCAUUGCAGUCUCCUACAGCCCAGUGCCUUGAGAACCACGGCCGUAACCCAGCCUGGAGCCUGCAUCCUUCCUCCUGGGGACCCUGCCCCAGCGAACUGCUCACCAGCUGGUGGAAGGGGCCCACGGGCCAGCAGUAAAACUGCCGUGCUGCCAUCCUCAGCCAGGCUGGACGUGCAGCACGCGAAGAAUCACAGCCAUCUAUCUGACAGUUCAGCCUGAAGAAGAUAAAAGAGAUCUCUCAUCAUGAACUAAAAGCACUGGAGCAAUAUACGUCAUGUUCAGUCUGGAAGGCUUGCGUUUCUCCUGCAGUCUGACGAUGCAGCUUGUUCUCCGGCGGCAAUCCUCACGCCCCUGUUCCUGUGGGAUGGCUGGGGCGGCAGUCGGACGCUCACUGGGACCUCGCGUGCUUCGGGAGCUGCUGGAAGAGGCUCUUUCCCCCUGCUGCUGUUCUGACUCAGGGAGGCUGGAGCCUGGCCUGAUAGACGUACUCCUACAGCUCUGCAGUAUUUCUGCUCCUSGUUGCGAACAGAGAAAUGUCGUUGGACUCCUGUCUGCCAAGGCUCUUUGGAAGGGCUAA
rnacentral:lncRNA from 1 species